rnacentral:rRNA from 1 species
CAGUCGCCACGGUAACACGGAGGUCCCGAGCGUUGUCCGGAUUUAUUGGGCGUAAAGCGAGCGCAGGCGGUUAGAUAAGUCUGAAGUUAAAGGCUGUGGCUUAACCAUAGUACGCUUUGGAAACUGUUUAACUUGAGUGCAAGAGGGGAGAGUGGAAUUCCAUGUGUAGCGGUGAAAUGCGUAGAUAUAUGGAGGAACACCGGUGGCGAAAGCGGCCCUCUGGCUUGUAACUGACGCUGAGGCUCGAAAGCGUGGGGAGCAAACAGGAUUAGAUACCCCCGUAGUCCCUGUCUCUUAUACA